rnacentral:rRNA from 1 species
UACAGAGGUCUCAAGCGUUGUUCGGAUUCAUUGGGCGUAAAGGGUGCGUAGGCGGCGGGGUAAGUCAGGUGUGAAAUCCCUGGGCUCAACCCGGGAACUGCAUCUGAAACUGGCGGUCUUUGAGUGCUGGAGAGGGAAGCGGAAUUCCUGGUGUAGAGGUGAAAUUCGUAGAUAUCAGGAGGAACACCGGUGGCGAAGGCGGCUUCCUGGACAGUAACUGACGCUGAGACGCGAAAGCGUGGGGAGCAAACAGG